rnacentral:rRNA from 1 species
CAGCAGCCGCGGUAAUACGAGGGGGGCAAGCGUUGUUCGGAAUUAUUGGACGUAAAGGGUGCGUAGGCGGCUUGACAAGUCUUGUGCGAAAUCUAUGGGCUCAACCCAUAGUCUGCACGGGAAACUGUCGGGCUUGAGAAUGGGAGAGGUGAGUGGAAUUUCCGGUGUAGCGGUGAAAUGCGUAGAUAUUGGAAGGAACACCUGUGGCGAAAGCGGCACACUGGACCAUUUCUGACGCUGAUGCACGAAAGCUAGGGGAGCAAACAGGAUUAGAUACCCGCGUAGUCCCUGUCUCUUAUAC